rnacentral:rRNA from 1 species
GACGAACGCUGGCGGCGUGCUUAACACAUGCAAGUCGAACGGUAAGGCCCUUCGGGGUACACGAGUGGCGAACGGGUGAGUAACACGUGGGUGAUCUGCCCUGCACCUCGGGAUAAGCCUGGGAAACUGGGUCUAAUACCGGAUAGGACUCCGGACUGCAUGGUCUGGGGUGGAAAGCUUUUGCGGUGUGGGAUGGGCCCGCGGCCUAUCAGCUUGUUGGUGGGGUGAUGGCCUACCAAGGCGACGACGGGUAGCCGGCCUGGGAGGGUGACCGGCCAGACGGGGACUGGGAUACGGCCCAGACUCCUACGGGAGGCAGCAGGGCGGAAUAUUGCACAAUGGGCGCAAGCCUGAUGCAGCGCCGCCGCGUGGGGGAUGACGGCCUUCGGGUUGUAAUCCUCUUUCAGCACCGACGAAGCGCAAGUGACGGUAGGUGCAGAAGAAGGACCGGCCAACUACGUGCCAGCAGCCGCCGUAA